AAAUUGAAGAGUUUGAUCAUGGCUCAGAUUGAACGCUGGCGGCAGGCCUAACACAUGCAAGUCGAGCGGCAGCGGGAAAGUAGCUUGCUACUUUUGCCGGCGAGCGGCGGACGGGUGAGUAAUGCCUGGGGAUCUGCCCAGUCGAGGGGGAUAACAGUUGGAAACGACUGCUAAUACCGCAUACGCCCUACGGGGGAAAGGAGGGGACCUUCGGACCUUUCGCGAUUGGAUGAACCCAGGUGGGAUUAGCUAGUUGGUGAGGUAAUGGCUCACCAAGGCGACGAUCCCUAGCUGGUCUGAGAGGAUGAUCAGCCACACUGGAACUGAGACACGGUCCAGACUCCUACGGGAGGCAGCAGUGGGGAAUAUUGCACAAUGGGGGAAACCCUGAUGCAGCCAUGCCGCGUGUGUGAAGAAGGCCUUCGGGUUGUAAAGCACUUUCAGCGAGGAGGA
rnacentral:rRNA from 1 species